rnacentral:rRNA from 1 species
GGUGUAGGCGGCUAGGUAAGUCGGGUGUGAAAUCCCUGGGCUCAACCCAGGAACUGCAUUCGAAACUGCCUAGCUAGAGUCCCGGAGAGGAUGGCGGAAUUCCCGGUGUAGAGGUGAAAUUCGUAGAUAUCGGGAGGAACACCAGUGGCGAAGGCGGCCAUCUGGACGGUGACUGACGCUCAGACCCGAAAGCGUGGGUAGCAAACAGGAUUAGAUACCCUGGUAGUCC